rnacentral:rRNA from 1 species
ACAGAACUUGGCAGAGAUGCCUUGGUGCCUUCGGGAACUGUGAGACAGGUGCUGCAUGGCUGUCGUCAGCUCGUGUUGUGAAAUGUUGGGUUAAGUCCCGCAACGAGCGCAACCCUUAUCCUUUGUUGCCAGCGGUCCGGCCGGGAACUCAAAGGAGACUGCCAGUGAUAAACUGGAGGAAGGUGGGGAUGACGUCAAGUCAUCAUGGCCCUUACGACCAGGGCUACACACGUGCUACAAUGGCAUAUACAAAGAGAAGCGACCUCGCGAGAGC